GUCAGCCUGCCAGUGACAAAUGUUCAACGGCCGCGGUAUCCUAACCGUGCGAAGGUAGCGUAAUCACUUGUUCUUUAAAUGUGGACUAGUAUGAACGGCACCACGAGGGUUAUACUGUCUCCUUUCUCCAAUCAGUGAAACUAAUCUCCCCGUGAAGAAGCGGGGAUAAAAAUAUAAGACGAGAAGACCCUAUGGAGCUUAAAAGUUUACUUCAAACGCUAACCCCUACAAAGUCAUAGACUACCACAAGAAGCCACGCGCCAUGAAAACAACUUUUAGGUUGGGGUGACCAUGGAGCACAAAACAACCUCCACGCUGAACAGGCCUCCAAGCCUCGAGCCAAGGGCCACAACCCGCCGCACUAAAAAAUUAACAUCCAUUGAUCCAAUGAAUUUUGAUCAACGAACCAAGUUACCCUAGGGAUAACAGCGCAAUCUACUUCAAGAGUUCCUAUCGACAAGUGGGUUUACGACCUCGAUGUUGGAUCAGGGUGUCCCAGUGGUGCAGCCGCUACUAAUGGUUCGUUUGUUCAACGAUUAAAACCCUACGUGAU
rnacentral:rRNA from 1 species